rnacentral:piRNA from 1 species
UUUAUGUGGGUUCUGAUUACCAAU